UACGUAGGAGACGAGCGUUGUCCGGAAUUACUGGGCGUAAAGCGCGUGUAGGCGGAUGAGCAAGUCUGCUGUGAAAGCUCCUGGCUUAACCGGGAGUGGUCGGUGGAACUGCUCGUCUGGAGGACGGUAGAGGUAGGUAGAAUUCCCGGUGUAGUGGUGAAAUGCGUAGAUAUCUGGAGGAACACCGGUGGCGAAGGCGCAUCCUGGACCGGCAUUGACGCGUGAGGCGCGAAAGCCAGGGGAGCAAACGGG
rnacentral:rRNA from 1 species